UCUUACGGCCAUACCACCCUGGACACGCCCGAUCUCGGAAUGUAAGCAGGGUCGGGCCUGGUUAGUACUUGGAUGGGAGACCGCCUGGGAAUACCAGGUGCCGUAAGCU
rnacentral:rRNA from 1 species